GACGAACGCUGGCGGCGUGCUUAACACAUGCAAGUCGAACGAAGAGCGACGGAAGCUUGCUUCUCUCAAUCUUAGUGGCGAACGGGUGAGUAACGCGUAAUCAACCUGCCCUUCAGAGGGGGACAACAGUUGGAAACGACUGCUAAUACCGCAUACGAUCUAAUCUCGGCAUCGAGGAUGGAUUAAAGGUGGCCUCUACAUGUAAGCUAUCACUGAAGCAUGGGAUUGCGGCUGAUUAGCUAGUUGGAGGGGUAACGGCCCACCAAGGCGAUGAUCAGUAGCCGGUCUGAGAGGAUGAACGGCCACAUUGGGACUGAGACACGGCCCAGACUCCUACGGGAGGCAGCAGUGGGGAAUCUUCCGCAAUGGACGAAAGUCUGACGGAGCAACGCCGCGUGAGUGAUGACGGCCUUCGGGUUGUAAAGCUCUGUUAAUCGGGACGAAAGGACUUCUUGCGAAUAGGGAGAAGGAUUGACGGUACCGGAAGAGAAAGCCACGGCUAACUACGUG
rnacentral:rRNA from 1 species